rnacentral:tRNA from 1 species
CGGAAUGUAGCGCAGCACGGUAGCGCACUUCGUUCGGGACGAAGGGGUCGGAGGUUCGAAUCCUCUCAUUCCGACCA